AAAAAGGCAAACCCUGCGUUUUCGUGUCCAACUUUGACUGUCCGUCUUAUAUGAAUUUUUUUUAUAAUUCGUAAUUUCAUUGUUGUUAGAUGAUAAAACAUGAUUAAUAUUUUAUGCGUGACUUAUCUUUUUAAUUUUUUUCAUAUUUUUUUUAAAUAAGACGGACGGUCAAAAGUUAGACACGGAAACAAGGGUUUGUCUUUUU
rfam:Oryza nivara chromosome 7, whole genome shotgun sequence.